ACAACUAGGGAAGAGGAAGAGGACAAAAAGAAGGCAUCUUAAAUAGUGCUAAGUGUAUUGUUUAUUUUUGUACAUCUCAGUUUGUUUCGUUUUGGUAUGUCUCAGUUUGUUUCUUGUUAAACAGACUGAAAUAAAAUGAUAUCCUGCUCUCCAAUUGAUCUUCUAAACAUGUAGCUUUAGAUUCAUUACUGAAUAAUUUUAGAAACCUACUUAUUUCUGUAGAGAAACAUGAAACCAGCCAACAAAUCUGUGAGAAGCUAAUGCACUUUGUGUAGCUGAAACUACUAUCAGAUAUCUUGCUACCACAUGGAGGCUUUAAGUGAAGUCUACAUGGAAGAGAACAGAGCUGAGAGAUGAAAAGAUACUGAAUCCCAGGGACAUCCUUUGAGAUUCGGGAUCCAGCUGAGGGACUUGGAUGAAUCUGGAAACCAUCAUUCUCGGCAUACUGACUUAAGAACAGAAAAACAAAAACCACAUGUUCUCAC
rnacentral:lncRNA from 1 species